UACGUAGGGAGCAAGCGUUGUCCGGAAUCAUUGGGCGUAAAGAGCGUGUAGGCGGCCAGGUAGGUCGGUUGUGAAAACUGGAGGCUCAACCUUCAGAGGUCGACCGAAACCAUCUGGCUAGAGUCCGGGAGAGGAGAGUGGAAUUCCUGGUGUAGCGGUGAAAUGCGCAGAUAUCAGGAAGAACACCCGUGGCGAAAGCGGCUCUCUGGAACGGUACUGACGCUGAGACGCGAAAGCGUGGGGAGCGAACAGG
rnacentral:rRNA from 1 species